UUGAACGCUGGCGGCAUGCCUUACCCCUGCAAGUCGAACGGCAGCACGGGUGCUUGCACCUGGUGGUGAGUGGCGAACGGGUGAGUAAUACAUCGGAACAUGUCCUGUAGUGGGGGAUAGCCCGGCGAAAGCCGGAUUAAUACCGCAUACGAUCUACGGAUGAACGCGGGGGACCUUCGGGCCUCGCGCUAUAGGGUUGGCCGAUGGCUGAUUAGCUAGUUGGUGGGGUAAAGGCCUACCAAGGGGGCGAUCAGUAGCGGGUCGGAGAGGAGGACCAGCCACACUGGGACUGAGACACGGCCCAGACUCCUACGGGAGGCAGCAGUGGGGAAUUUUGGACAAGGGGCGAAAGCCUGAUCCAGCAAUGCCGCGUGUGUGAAGAAGGCCUUCGGGUUGGAAAGCACUUUUGUCCGGAAAGAAAUCCUUGGCCCUAAUACGGUCGGGGGGAUGACGGUACCGGAAGAAUAAGCACCGGCUAACUACGUG
rnacentral:rRNA from 1 species